AUUGGACAAUGGGCGAAAGCCUGAUCCAGCCAUGCCGCGUGUGUGAAGAAGGUCUUCGGAUUGUAAAGCACUUUAAGUUGGGAGGAAGGGCAUUAACCUAAUACGUUGGUGUCUUGACGUUACCGACAGAAUAAGCACCGGCUAACUCUGUGCCAGCAGCCGCGGUAAUACAGAGGGUGC
rnacentral:rRNA from 1 species